GAUGAACGCUGGCGGCGUGCCUAAUACAUGCAAGUCGAGCGAACAGACGAGGAGCUUGCUCCUCUGACGUUAGCGGCGGACGGGUGAGUAACACGUGGAUAACCUACCUAUAAGACUGGGAUAACUUCGGGAAACCGGAUCUAAUACCGGAUAAUAUCUUGAACCGCAUGGUUCAAUAGUGAAAGACGGUUUUGCUGUCACUUCUCGAUGGAUCCGCGCCGCAUUAGCUAGUUGGUAAGGUAACGGCUUACCAAGGCAACGAUGCGUAGCCGACCUGAGAGGGUGAUCGGCCACACUGGAACUGAGACACGGUCCAGACUCCUACGGGAGGCAGCAGUAGGGAAUCGUCCGCAAUGGGCGAAAGCCUGACGGAGCAACGCCGCGUGAGUGAUGAAGGUCUUCGGAUCGUAAAACUCUGUUAUGAGGGAAGAACAAAUGUGUAAGUAACUAUGCACGUCUUGACGGUACCUAAUCAGAAAGCCACGGCUAACUACGUG
rnacentral:rRNA from 1 species